AUGGAAAUGAGUGGCAAUUCGGACACGGUGCAGAAAAAGGGUGCAUCUGAUACAACACAAGCAUUCGUUCUUGGGCGGUCGUUCUCGGUGGUUAUACCUUCGAAGCGUGAAAAUGGGACAGUUCUUGUUCGGUGCAAAGUAGAGGAAGUAGACGUUCUCGGGACAGUCGAAGUCGCGGUACAUGUUCGGGAAGCGGUAGAGGUACGGAUCUUCGACAACGGUCGUCGUACACGUUCUGAGGUCGUCGGUAGAGUUUCUUGCGAUCUCGGCGAUGGUAGUGGUACAUGUCAUCGGUACUCGAACUUAGCGAUCCGAAGGGGUACUUGGCGAACAACGGUCGUCAAAGUACUUGUUGGUCCAUGA
rnacentral:rRNA from 1 species